UUGCGGUUAUAUCAUUUUGACACACUGGUUCUCGUACGAUCACCGAAGUUAAGCAACAUCGAGCCUGGUCAGAAACUAGAUGGGUGAGCGCUUAGGAAUAUCAGGUGCUGUG